GGAGAGAUGGCCGAGUGGCUGAAGGCGGUCGCCUGCUAAGCGACUAUAUGGGCCAAAACCUGUAUCGUGGGUUCGAAUCCCACUCUCUCCGCCA
rnacentral:tRNA from 1 species